rnacentral:rRNA from 1 species
UACGGAGGGUGCAAGCGUUAUCCGGAUUCACUGGGUUUAAAGGGUGCGUAGGUGGGUCUGUAAGUCAGUGAUGAAAUCUCCGAGCUUAACUCGGAAACUGCCAUUGAUACUAUAGGUCUUGAAUUAUCUGGAGGUGAGCGGAAUAUGUCAUGUAGCGGUGAAAUGCUUAGAUAUGACAUAGAACACCAAUUGCGAAGGCAGCUCACUACGGAUUUAUUGACACUGAGGCACGAAAGCGUGGGGGAUAAACAGG